rnacentral:rRNA from 1 species
UACGGAGGAUGCAAGCGUUAUCCGGAAUGAUUGGGCGUAAAGCGUCCGCAGGUGGCUAUGUAAGUCUGCUGUUAAAGAGUCUGGCUCAACCAGAUAAAGGCAGUGGAAACUACAUGGCUAGAGUGCGUUCGUGGCAGAGGGAAUUCCUGGUGUAGCGGUGAAAUGCGUAGAGAUCAGGAAGAACACCGGUGGCGAAAGCGCUCUGCUAGGCCGCAACUGACACUGAGGGACGAAAGCUAGGGGAGCGAAUGGG